rnacentral:snRNA from 1 species
GGAUGUGAGGGCACUCUGACUGGGACAUCUGACACCCCAUUGGUCAUCAUGGUUGAUUUGACUGCUCUGGUUGGCUCUCUCAUGGCUCCAGGUGCUCCCCCCCAAACUAACUACAUGCUUGGCCCUGCAUGGUGGGCAGCAGCCUCCCCAUGAGUAAAGGAAGAUGGGUCUUUGUUCAAGGACAUAUGAGUAGCUGCACUCCUCUGCUAGAACCUUCAAACAAGUUCCCAAAUAGUUAAACUUAUAUUCUUAUUUAAAAUACAUAUUUAAAAGCUAUAAAAUUGUAUUUAUU